ensembl:lncRNA
AAAUAUUUAAAUACAACCCAUUAUGAAUAUUAACACACAAAACCAAUACUUGUAUGUACUAUUUAUUCAUUUUGAUACAUCCCUACCACCCACUGUUUAUUACAAACACUCAUUGAAAUGUGUUUAUCUAUGAUUUCUACACACACAGAAAAUGUUGAUUAAUGUGCCAUGUAGUUUAUUAUAAAUGGUACUGCAACCAGUAGUAUGAGUUAUUGUAAUACAUGUGUUAUAAAUGCACUAUGUAUACCAUUUUAGCGUUGCAAAAACACACAAACUGCUUAUGUGGAACAUGACACCUGCCAAGCCAAGGCUGUGGGUUCGAUUCCCACCGGGGCCAGGAUGAAAAAGAAUGAAAAUGUAUACAAUCACUACUGUGAAUCUCUGAAUAAGGGCAUGGGUUAAAUCACUUAAAACGUGAAUACAUACAGACGCAACUCGUAUUACAAACACACAGGCUCCCACGCCAUAGGAAACAGACACGUGACAUGAUAGCUGAUGGAGUGUGAGAAGAGUGGUUCUGGGUUCCAUACUUGUACGUUCAUGAUCCUUUUGACACCGUAAGGUGUGACACUUGCUGGUGGUGUCAACAACGGAAGGGUUCCAUACUUGUACGUUCACGAUCCUUUUGACACCGUAAGGUGUGACACUUGCUGGUGGUGUAAACAACGGAAGGGUUCCAUACUUGUACGUUCAUGAUCCUUUUGACACCGUAAGGUGUGACACUUGCUGGUGGUGUCAACAACAGAAGGGUUCCAUACUGCACUGUACCGAAAAAGUUGUUUUUGCUGGACCUGUUAGUGAGAAUGCUGUUCCAGUUGUAGUCCUGUACAGCUGUAGUGUAACGAGGGUGUUCCCCUCUUGUCCUAGAAUGUCCGGAGCCUGCUGGUUUUUCUGUUCUACCUCAUCAUUAAUUGCACCCACCUGGUUUUCCAGGGCUAAGUAAGUCCCUGAUUCAAGGGAUGCACUGAAAAACGGAGUGGAACUGGCCUCGGGGUCCUGAGUUGAGUGAUGUAGAGUUAUUUCUUAGUGAACCAAAAUGAUGCACUCCCUCCGUUAUUUGUUGUUUCUGCAGUGACGAUUCACCAUCUAUAAGGAAUUAUGACUUAUCUGCAGCUAACAUUGUUUUUGUGCAAAAGCAUUAGGCUAAUGAGGGAGACAAAUUAACAGAUUUUUUUAUGUGUGAUUUGGUUUCUGCCAUUCAAGAAAAUUAGCUGUUCAAAAAGCUGUUCAUUCAUUUUAGUGCUACAUCAAUGUAAGUAUAGGGGACAGAUUACAAUGGUAACAAGUCUUUUAAUCCUUAAAUGGUUGAGCAAUUUGCCUUGUCCUUUUAGUUUGUUUUGCCCUGUAGUCACUGCCAGUUUGAAAGCAUUUGGCUUUUGGAAGUACAAGUAACAUACCAAAUAUUCAUUCAUAUUUACAUUGCAGCCAUCCUGCUUGCAUCUAUACUACGUAAUUACAGAAAAAUAAUAUGAAAUACAAAACACACCCACCUCAAUGAAUGUCCAUUUAUCCAUCCAUUCAUUUAGUAAUUACAUUUGGUAGCAUUUACUUUUAAACGUAUAAUGCCGUGAAUUCAACAGUACUUUUGCCCUACUG